rnacentral:lncRNA from 1 species
UUUUUUUUUUUUUGAGAUCGAGUCUCAUUCUUGUUGCCCAGGCUGGAGUGCAAUGGCACAAUCUCGGCUCACUGCAACUUCCACCUCCCAAGUUCAAGCGAUUCUCCUGCCUCAGCCUUCUGAGUAGCUGGGACUACAGGCAUGCGCCACCAUGCCUGACUAAUUUUUAUAUUUUUAGUAGAGAUGGGGUUUCACCAUGUUGGCCAGGCUGGUCUUGAAUUCCUGACCUCAGGUGAUGCGCCCGCCUUGGCCUCCCAAAGUGCUGGGGAUUACAGGCGUGAACCACCACCGCGCCUGGCCCGGCUGGAGCUCAUUUUCUGAGCUCAAAGGCACAGAGUUCAGAGUCUCUUGCGGAUAUUCCAAGAUACUCCAGAUAUUCCAAGAUGCCUGGAGCCAGGACUGGAAAAGGGAGGCACAGGAGGGCUUGGGGUCUAGAAAGAGAAGGCUGUAGGGUGGGGGACCAUGGGAGACCCGGCAGUUGGUCUGGGAGAAAACAAGGCCAAGUCAGUGUUGACAGAGAAGUAGGAUUUUCCUGGUGAAAACCAGAGGAAGACAGCAUCUCAGGUGGAGGAAAAAGCUGACAAAGGCCCGGCCUCUUGGAGAGGAGGUUGUUAUGACUGGCAUGGGGGACACACAGAGGAAGGACUUGGACACAAAUUUUCUGAGGCCCUGCUUUGCUCGCCUUAUUUUAUUUCAUUUAUUUUAUUUUUGAGACAGAUUCUCGCUCUGUCUCCCAGGCUGGAGUGCUGUGGCGUAAUCUCAGCUCACUGCAACCUCUGUCUCCCAGGUUCAAGCGAUUCUCCUGCCUCAGCCUCCCGAUUAGCUGGGAUUACAGGCGUGCACCACCAUGCCCUGGUAAUUUUUGUAUUUUUAAUAGAGACGUGGUUUCACCGUGUUGGCCAGGUUGGUCUUGAACUCCUGACCCCAGACGAUCCACCUGCCUCAGCCUCCCAAAGUGCUGGGAUUACAGGCAUGAGCCACUGUGCCCAGCCCUUAUUUUAUUUAUUUGAGAUGGGGUCUCACUCUGUUGCCCAGGCUGGAAUGCAAUUGUGCAAGUCUGGCUCACUGCAGCCAGGAACUCCUGGGCUCAAGUGAUCCUCCUGCCUCGGCCUCCGGAGUAGCCAGGAUUACAGGUGUACACAACACACCCCAUUCUUUUUUUUUUUUUAAAGACAGAGUCUCACUCUAGCACGAUCUCGGCUCACUGCAAUCUCAGCUUACUGCAACCUCUGUCUCCCAAGUUCAAGCCAUUCUCCUGCCUCAGCCUCCAGAGUAGCUGGGAUUACAGGCAUGUGCCACCAUGCCCGACUGAUUUUGUAUUUUAGUUUCUUCAUGUUGGUCAGGCUGGUCUUAAACUCCUGGCCUCAGGUGAUCUGCCCGCCUCGGCCUCCCAAAGUGCUGAGAUUACAGGCCGUGAGGGAACAAAAUAUCAAAAUUGUAAAAAAAGACAGAAUCUGACUUUGCACUUAUCCCACUCACCUCCCUGACCUUCCCUAUCUUCAGCUCAUGUUGGCCGUAUUGGUCAGGCUGGUCUGGAACUCCUGACCUCAGUUGAUCUGCCCGCCUAGGACUCCCAAAGUGCUGGGAUUACAGGCGUGAUCCACCGCUCCCGGCCGAUUUAAUUUUUAAAAUUAAAUUAUAAAAUAUAAAUAUAUAUGUUGCCUGCGUAAAACAUUGCAUAUAUAAAAUUAUAUGAAACGUUGCAACUGCCACGGUCCCCUUAUCCCCCGCCUCCAGCCCAGUGCCCCGCCCGUCCAUCCCUCUCUUCCGGCGCUGAGGGCGCAGAAACUCUGCGCGGCCACCAGAUGGCGCCGCCGCGCCUCGCAGCCCCGGGACAUUUCGUGCCCCCCGGCGGUGGGCGGCGCGGAGGAGGCGGGAUGCGUCAGCUGGGCUCGCGGGCCAGGGAGCCGGGGAACCGGGGAAACCGAGCCGCAGGGCCGAGGCCAGACCCCAGGCUGGCGGGGGAGGGGACUCAGAUGUGAGUCACCCGGGAGCCCCCAGUCGACCGUGGGAGACGUUGUCAUGCGGGGCCUGCCCGCCUCGUUCCUAAGCAGCCUUCCUGGGGCGGCGGAGUCCUGCAGGCGGCCGUGCCUGGCGCACAGGCGUGGCUCCAACACGAACUAGCCUGUGGCCUCACCAAGCCUCAGUUUACCCUUUUGCAUAAUGCACAUAAGCAUCUCCCCUGCUUCUCAGGUCUUGGAUUAAAUCAUCCAUGAAUCGGGAGGGGUGGAGGGUGCCAGAUCCGCACCACGCUCAGUGCAGGUCAGCGCCCACCCCGGAGUGAGAAAUAAAGGUGGCCGUCAUCCUUGCACGUGGGCCUGGGGUGGCGGCGUGCAGC